rnacentral:rRNA from 1 species
AGGGGCAGCGGGGGCGGAAGCUUGCUUACGCCCGCCGGCGACCGGCGCACGGGUGAGUAACACGUAUGCAACCUGGCCGCCACAGGGGGAUAACCCGCGGAAACGCGGCCUAAUACCCCGUGACGCCACCGGAGAGCAUCCUCCGGUGGCCAAAGGAGCGAUCCGGUGGCGGAUGGGCAUGCGGCGCAUUAGCUAGACGGCGGGGUGACGGCCCACCGUGGCGACGAUGCGUAGGGGUUCUGAGAGGAAGGCCCCCCACACUGGGACUGAGACACGGCCCAGACUCCUACGGGAGGCAGCAGUGAGGAAUAUUGGUCAAUGGGCGGAAGCCUGAACCAGCCAAGUCGCGUGAGGGAUUAAGGCCCUGCGGGUCGUAAACCUCUCUUGCCGGGGAGCAGUGGUCCGGACGCGUCCGGGCCGGGAGAGUACCCGGAGAAAAAGCAUCGGCUAACUCCGUGCCAGCAGCCGCGGUAAUACGGAGGAUGCGAGCGUUAUCCGGAUUUAUUGGGUUUAAAGGGUGCGUAGGCGGGCACUUAAGCCGGCGGUCAAAUGUCGGGGCUCAACCCCGGCCUGCCGUCGGAACUGGGUGCCUUGAGUGGGCGAGAAGUAUGCGGAAUGCGUGGUGUAGCGGUGAAAUGCAUAGAUAUCACGCAGAACCCCGAUUGCGAAGGCAGCAUACCGGCGCCCUACUGACGCUGAGGCACGAAAGUGCGGGUAUCGAACAGGAUUAGAUACCCUGGUAGUCCGCACAGUAAACGAUGGAUGCUAUCUGUC